rnacentral:lncRNA from 1 species
UCAUUAUUUGUGGAACUACUCUCUUGUGUGAUGUGAGGGCAUGUAAUUCACAAAUGAAAGGUAAGUCUUAACUCUUGUAUAGAGUGGUUUGAGUAAGAGUGAAUGUUGCGUGGUACGAAAGAUUUGACUUUUGAGGUAAAGAUUGUUCACUACUAGGUGCAACGUUGGUAAAAUGUUCAAGGUGUGAGUCGUUAAGGGAAAAGCUUAGGAAAUGAACCUUGAUGGAGUGUGGUGGAUUGCUCGAGG